ACGGCGCUCCGGACUGCUGAAAUCCGACCCCAAAAAAUCUCCGAGAAGCGACGCUCUCGACUCUUUCAAAUCCGUUUUAGAGCAGUGACCCCAUAAACAACUCGCCUGUUCAAUCCUUCAACAAAUAUAUUUUUUUAUCAUCCUUGGCUGUGAGUUGCAUCACAUGGCGGUGAGAGGCUUUUUUUUAGAAGAGCACAUGCUUGGGGACAAAAGGCUGUGAAAACGAAGAAUCCCUGUGCCAUACUGAGCAAACUCCUGAGAGACCUAUUUAAAGCACUGAAAAUAACGUCCACGAAGGACCACCCGGGAGGUAAGAGCCUUGUUUGACUUUCACCAGGGGGCUUUUAGACCCCAUACUGUCCCCUCACAGACUUACAGAGCCGCCUCAAGGCACUCGUACCUCUCUAUGAAACAAUGCAACAAAUCAGGGGCAUAGAUCC
ensembl:processed_transcript